UCCCCGCCUUCUUUCCUGGGCAGCUCUGUUAAAGAAGGGCGCUUGUCCUUCAAACCCCGAAGUUCUUUCAUCAAAGGCCCUCCGGCUUUUCCGCGUGACCUUGGAAGCUUUGCUCGUUACAACUCCUCCGAGACUUCCGCCCGCCUCAGCCCAAAAAGAAGGCGAAGCUUUCGCGGUGUCUUCCGAGUCCUGCUGCCAGCCCCUUGAUGGGCCUCUGGCCCCCGGCCGCCGACGCCUGGCUUACGUUACAGCAAAUUGUAGCCGGGCCUGCUUGUACCUCCGUCCUGUACAUUCCAGAAGCCUGAAAGUCCUGGAAGUUCUACUCCAAAGGACAAUAUUCCAGAAGGUGUCCCUUUUUCUUCAUCGCCACCAUCUCUCUCCUGAACUUCCACAAUGCCUCCUAACUGUUCACCUGUGUCGCCUUUUGGUUCCUUUAGUUCAUUCUCAAAGCAGUUAAAGUGAUCUUUGCAAAACGGAUCAUAUGUCAUCCCUGUUUAAAAUCUUCCAGUUCAUUCUGAUUUGAAAAUGGGCGAAGGACAGGAAUAGACAUUUCACUGAUGUCAGUGAUGGCAAAUAAAUGCAUGAAAAGUUGUUCAACA